GACGAACCGUGCGAACGUUGUUCGGAAUCACUGGGCUUAAAGGGCGCGUAGGCGGCUUGCCAAGUCCGGGGUGAAAUCCUCCAGCUUAACUGGAGAAGUGCCCUGGAUACUGGCGAGCUCGAGCGAGGCAGGGGUUGUGGGAACUUCCGGUGGAGCGGUGAAAUGCGUUGAUAUCGGAAGGAACGCCGGUGGCGAAGGCGGUUCUCUGGGCCUUACCUGACACUGAGGCACGAAGGCCAGGGGAGCAAACGGG
rnacentral:rRNA from 1 species